rnacentral:rRNA from 1 species
AUUGAACGCUGGCGGCAUGCUUUACACAUGCAAGUCGAACGGCAGCGCGGGCUUCGGCCUGGCGGCGAGUGGCGAACGGGUGAGUAAUGCAUCGGAACGUGCCCAGUAGUGGGGGAUAGCCCGGCGAAAGCCGGAUUAAUACCGCAUACGAACUGAGGGUGAAAGCGGGGGACCGAAAGGCCUCGCGCUAUUGGAGCGGCCGAUGUCGGAUUAGCUAGUUGGUGGGGUAAAGGCUUACCAUGGCGACGAUCCGUAGCUGGUCUGAGAGGACGACCAGCCACACUGGGACUGAGGCACGGCCCAGACUCCGACGGGAGGCAGCAGUGGGGAAUUUUGGACGAUGGGGGCAACCCUGAUCCAGCCAUGCCGCGUGCGGGAAGAAGGCCUUCGGGUUGUAAACCGCUUUUGUUCGGGAAGAAAUCCUCUGGGCUAAUACCCCGGGGGGAUGACGGUACCGGAAGAAUAAGCACCGGCUAACUACGUG